UACGUAGGGUGCAAGCGUUAAUCGGAAUGACUGGGCGUAAAGGGUGUGUAGGCGGUUUGUUAAGUCUGAUGUGAAAUCCCCGGGCUCAACCUGGGAACUGCGUUGGAAACUGGCAAACUAGAGUACGUAAGAGGGGGGUGGAAUUCCACGUGUAGCAGUGAAAUGCGUAGGGAUGUGGAGGAACACCGAUGGCGAAGGCAACCCCCUGGGACGAUACUGACGCUGAGGCACGAAAGCGUGGGGAGCAAACAGG
rnacentral:rRNA from 1 species